GUGAAUCAUCAAAUCUUUGAACGCAUAUUGCACUCUCUGGUAUUCCGGAGAGUAUGCCUAUUUGAGGGUCAUUUGAAAUAAUAUAAAUUUGGAGGGUUUCUUGGAAUCAAAAAUGGGAGGGUCCAGCAUUGGUGUGGUGGUCGCCUAGAAGGAAGGACAAGCUCAUUUCUUGGGUGGCGGGAUACGUUCAGUUACUUCGGGACUUCACAAGGGAUCUUUGGGGGGGUUGGGAAUUGUGCAGG
rnacentral:misc_RNA from 1 species